GACAGAGGGGGCUAGCGUUGUUCGGAAUAACUGGGCGUAAAGGGUGCGUAGGCGGCUUUUUAAGUGGUGCGUUAAAUGCGUGGGCUCAACCCACGAAGUGCGUGUCAUACUGGAAAGCUAGAGUGCGAAAGAGGAGAGUAGAAUUUCUAGUGUAAGGGUGAAAUCUGUAGAUAUUAGAAGGAAUACUAAAGGCGAAGGCAUCUCUCUGGGGCGACACUGACGUUGAGGCACGAAAGCGUGGGGAGCAAACAGG
rnacentral:rRNA from 1 species